GCCCUGCUCAACCUAGGGGGCUUUGAAAGAUAUUAGUAUUGAGUUGGGGCCAGGACUGGGGUCUAGCGUUGUGUCCUGAGCCCAAGCCUCCGUGAGGACACGGGGCAGCUCCCUCUACACCUCCAUCCCAGGCUACGAUGGACUCAGGCCUGGAGCCGCUUCAUGGCUCCUCCUCCCUUUCUCGUGGGAGUCCUGUACCCCAAGAACCUGCUUAAAAUGGGAUUUCCAGGUCUGACGUCAAAGGAAAGCCAUGCCUCCCUGAUUAGCAGAGCGAAGCCCAGCCUGGCCCCGCCCUGAAGGAGGCGGGCCGAGCAGGGGAGGGGCGCGUUCUGGAGGAUGGAAACGAGCUAUUCCAGCGGCUCCCGCGUCUAAACACCCCGGUGGCUUCCCCAUCACCUUACAUUUCAGCCGGUGCCUGCUGAACAUCUCCCUCCCAAACCCCCCGCCCCAGUGGUGUGCUGGGUCACACCUGGCUGGAAGAGGAGAAAAGCACCUUAAGUCCUCAGAGCUGGACAGCGGCUUCCGUUUGGAUCCUGCUUGAGUAGGUCCCACAUCGAGGCUGGGGCUGGAAGGCAGGGAGGGUGCGUGCAGAGAUGAAAAAGCCCACUAGGUGGCGCAACUCUCUUCCAGUGUGGGAUUCCGUGCCUGACAGAAGACGGAGCUCUCCCGCAGCCAGUCCCUCAAGUUCGGUGAGCAGAGAACCACAUGCCCCAAUCCACUGAGCAUGAAGACAGCAUCUUUGAGGGUGCACAGGACAGCUGUGGAUUCUAAAGCAAUCUCGCCUGUGCACACACACCCUGCCCACUCCCUACACAAGAUGGUCAGCCCCAAAAGGCAGAUGAGUGGUCAUACACUAGAAUCUCUUGGCCACCCUAUCCUAUGUGAACUCGAGCACUGGCGGGUAGAUGUGCGCUCCUGCCCGCAGCUCUUGGCUGUCCUUCAGCAGCAUCAGGUCCUCAGCAGAAUUUCCACCCAAUCUCAUCUCAGCCAGAAUCACAACUCAGACCCAUCAACUAAGAGGCGGAGACCCUGAAGAUCAGCUCAGCCAGUGCCUGAGAAGUAGUGGCUGAGCUAAACCAGGCAGACUCUUCCUGGUCCCUUGGUUCUCCACGAUGCUACCUGGAUCCCAUUUCCUGUUCUGGGUCUACCCUGGGCCUGCUAGGCGCAGCUUGUGAGCGGCCAGCUGAGGAGACUGCAGUCUCCCCGGCUCUGCCCGAAAGAUCUGCAGCUGAGCAGAAGGCAUGCGUGCUCCCAGCUUCUCUGGCCCAGGCCUCUCUCAUCUGGUUCGUUCUCCAUGAAGAAGGGAGGAGCAGAGGGAGAAGAGGCGGUGGAAGCUCUGGAGCCAACCCAGCCAGUACCAGCUCCUGCCCUGCAGGCACAGGCGUACCCAGCCUCUGCCUGCAGCUCCGCUCUACUGGAGCCUUGGCUGCCCAGAUUCACCAGGUGAGCUGGAAGGGGCUCCUCCCCUCCUCCCCCGCAGGCGGUCAGAGGCACCCUCCAGGCCUCCAAACCUGUCCUUGCACCGACAGCGC
rnacentral:lncRNA from 1 species